UACGGAGGGUGCAAGCGUUACUCGGAAUCACUGGGCGUAAAGCGCGCGCAGGCGGCUAGAUAAGUUGGAAGUGAAAUCCUAUGGCUCAACCAUAGAACUGCUUCUAAAACUGUUUAGCUAGAGUCUGGGAGGGGAAGAUGGAAUUAGUAGUGUAGGGGUAAAAUCCGUAGAGAUUACUAGGAAUACCAAAAGCGAAGGCGAUCUUCUGGAACAGUACUGACGCUGAGGCGCGAAAGCGUGGGGAGCAAACAGGAUUAGAUACCCUGGUAGUCCACGCCCUAAACGAUGAAUGUUAGUCGUCGGGACUCUAGUAGUUUCGGUGAUGCAGUUAACACAUUAAACAUUCCGCCUGGGGAGUACGGUCGCAAGAUUAAAACUCAAAGGAAUAGACGGGGACCCGCACAAGUGGUGGAGCAUGUGGUUUAAUUCGAAGAUACGCGAAGAGCCUUACCUAGCCUUGACAUAUUUUAGAACUCCGCAGAGAUGUAGAGGUGCCUUCGGGAGCUAAUAUACAGGUGCUGCACGGCUGUCGUCAGCUCGUGUCGUGAGAUGUUGGGUUAAGUCCCGCAACGAGCGCAACCCUCGUUCUUAGUUACUAACGGUUCGGCCGAGGACUCUAAGAAGACUGCCUUCGUAAGGAGGAGGAAGGUGAGGACGACGUCAAGUCAUCAUGGCCCUUACGGCUAGGGCAACACACGUGCUACAAUGGUUAGGACAAUGAGACGCAAUACCGCGAGGUGGAGCAAAUCUAUAAACCUAAUCUCAGUUCGGAUUGUAGUCUGCAACUCGACUACAUGAAGCUGGAAUCACUAGUAAUCGUAGAUCAGCUAUGCUA
rnacentral:rRNA from 1 species